AAUGAACGCUGGCGGCAUGCUUUACACAUGCAAGUCGGACGAGUGGCGAACGGGUGAGUAAUAUAUCGGAACGUACCGAGCAAUGGGGGAUAACUAAUAGAAAGCUUAGCUAAUACCGCUAAUUAUUCGCGCGGCUGACGUUGGAUUAGCUGGUUGGCGGGGUAAAGGCCCACCAAGGCGACGAUCAGUAGCGGGUCUGAGAGGCUGAUCGGCCACACUGGGACUGAGACACGGCCCAGACUCCUACGGUAGGCAGCAGUGGGGAAUUUUGGACAAUGGGCGCAAGCCUGAUCCAGCCAGGCCGCGUGACUGAAGAAGGCCUUCGGGUUGUAAAGGACUUUUGUCAGGGAAGCGGUACCUGAAGAGUAAGCACCGGCUAACUACGUGCCAGCAGCCGCGGUAAUAC
rnacentral:rRNA from 1 species